CCUACGGGAGGCAGCAGUGAGGAAUAUUGGUCAAUGGGCGAGAGCCUGAACCAGCCAAGUCGCGUGAAGGAUGAAGGAUCUAUGGUUUGUACACUUCUUUUAUAUGGGAAUAAAGUGAGGAACGUGUUCCUUUUUGUAUGUAUCAUAUGAAUACGCAUCGGCUAACUGCGUGCCAGCCGCCGCGGUAAUCCGGAGGAUGGGAGCGUUAUCCGGAUUUAUUGGGUUUAAAGGGUGCGUAGGUGGUUAAUUAAUUCAGCGGUGAAAGCUUGUGGCUAAAAGAUAAAAUUGUCGUUGAUACUGGUUGUCUUGAGUAUAUUUGAGGUAGGCGGAAUGCGUGGUGUAGCGGUGAA
rnacentral:rRNA from 1 species